AAAGUCGUAACAAGGUUUCCGUAGGUGAACCUGCGGAAGGAUCAUUAUUGAAUAAGUUGAGAGGUUGUAGCUGGCCCUUCGGGGCAUGUGCACGCCUUUCAAACUCAUCUCAACCACCUGUGCACCUUUUGUAGACCUUGAAUUGUGGAAAGGGGCUUUAAAGCCCCUUUCUGUUUUCCAGCGUCUACGUUUUUACAAUACACGCUUGAAUGUCAUUAGAAUGCAUUUGAUGGGCCUCAGUGUCCUUUAAAAAUAUAACAACUUUCAACAACGGAUCUCUUGGCUCUC
rnacentral:misc_RNA from 1 species